rnacentral:rRNA from 1 species
AAGUCGUAACAAGGUUUCCGUAGGUGAACCUGCGGAAGGAUCAUUAUUGAAUAAACCUGAUGUGGCUGUUAGCUGGCUUUUCGAAGCAUGUGCUCGUCCAUCAUCUUUAAUCUCUCCACCUGUGCACAUUUUGUAGUCUUGGAUACCUCUCGAGGCAACUCGGAUUUUAGGAUCGCCGUGCAGCUUUCCUCUCAUUUCCAAGACUAUGUUUUUAUAUACACCAAAGUAUGUUUAAAGAAUGUCAUCAAUAGGAACUUGUUUCCUAUAAAAUUAUACAACUUUCAGCAACGGAUCUCUUGGCUCUCGCAUCGAUGAAGAACGCAGCGAAAUGCGAUAAGUAAUGUGAAUUGCAGAAUUCAGUGAAUCAUCGAAUCUUUGAACGCACCUUGCGCUCCUUGGUAUUCCGAGGAGCAUGCCUGUUUGAGUGUCAUUAAAUUCUCAACCUUCCAGCUUUUAUUAGCUUGGUUAGGCUUGGAUGUGGGGGUUGUGGGCUUCAUUAAUGAGGUCAGCUCUCCUUAAAUGCAUUAGCGGAACUUUUGUGGACCGUCUAUUGGUGUGAUAAUUAUCUACGCCGUGGAUGUGAAGCAGCUUUAUGAAGUUCAGCUUCUAAUCGUCCAUUGACUUGGACAAAUUUUGAUAAUUUGACCUCAAAUCAGGUAGGACUACCCGCUGAACUUAAGCAUAUCAAUAAGCGGAGGAAAAGAAACUAACAAGGAUUCCCCUAGUAACUGCGAGUGAAGCGGGAAAAGCUCAAAUUUAAAAUCUGGCAGUCUUUGGCUGUCCGAGUUGUAAUCUAGAGAAGUAUUAUCCGCGCUGGACCGUGUACAAGUCCCCUGGAAUGGGGCGUCAUAGAGGGUGAGAAUCCCGUCUUUGACACGGACUGCCAGGGCUUUGUGAUGUGCUCUCAAAGAGUCGAGUUGUUUGGGAAUGCAGCUCAAAAUGGGUGGUAAAUUCCAUCUAAAGCUAAAUAUUGGCGAGAGACCGAUAGCGAACAAGUACCGUGAGGGAAAGAUGAAAAGAACUUUGGAAAGAGAGUUAAACAGUACGUGAAAUUGCUGAAAGGGAAACGCUUGAAGUCAGUCGCGUUGGCCAGGGAUCAACCUUGCUUUUUUGCUUGGCUUACUUUCUGGUCGAUGGGUCAGCAUCAAUUUUGACUGGUGGAAAAAGUUCAAGGGAAUGUGGCAUCUUCGGAUGUGUUAUAGCCUUUGUUCACAUACAUCAGUUGGGAUUGAGGAACUCAGCACGCCGCAAGGCCGGGUUUUUAACCACGUACGUGCUUAGGAUGCUGGCAUAAUGGCUUUAAUCGACC